UACCGCUGUAAAUUUCUACUAGCACCGAUGUAAUUUUACUUUUCCUCCUUACCGCUGUAAUUUUACUUUUCCCUUGAUAGUUAGCUGAUCGUGGGGAUUGGGAGAUACCCCGUUCCCCAUCCUAUUCUAUACGAGCGGUUUCUGGAGUCUGGACAGCGCGCGCCGAACGUUAACGGGAGGUCCUCGGCGGCAAAUCUUCAGCGGUGCUCGUGGAUACUGCUCGGUGUUGGCGGCCCACCUCCCGUUCUAUUCCAAUCAGGCGAUGCGGUGAGGGGCUGCUCGUGGGAUCAAUAGUGCGGUGGUCGGCGGGCAGGCGGGGCGGCAUGGUGCUCAACGGCUGAUGUCGAUGUUGGGCGGCCCUUGUAUAUAUGGUGGUCGCGGUGGCUCUACCGUGAAUGGAUGCGGCGGCUCUGCGGCUGAUUGAGUGUUUGGGGUUGUCUGCCUGAAGCUGCAGUAGUUUAGGAAGAAGAUGGAGAAGAAGUAUCCUGGGAAGUAGGCAGAAGCUGACAUGGACGAGGGGGCACGUGUGCCAUCUCCUAGAUGUGGAGAGCGGCAACAGCCAUAUAGCACCCCAUUUGAGGAAGCCGCAAGGUUGCAGGUGGGGAGCUCAUGGGAGGAUGUGAAGUUUCUACCUCCAUGAGCUCGGCUUAGCACAGUGGCGGUGGUCAUUUUGUAUUCCGGUUGGUCUCAGCGGUGGUCAUUUUGUAAUCCGGUUGGUCUCAGCGGUUGUUUUCAGCUGAGGUCUCGAGGGAGCGUCUCCAUCUUCCGAUGGAUUGUUGCCUCCUGUGCCAAGGCGAGGGGGCAGGGAGUGCCCUCCGGAGAUGGAUGAGCUCACAACUAAUUUUCUCUUGUGCCCAUGGUGAUGUCGAGGAUGCUUCCUCUCCUGCUGGUUGUUCAUCGUUCCCAAGGCUCUGCUUUUGCUGCUGAUUACUGUCUUGUUCGUCGAGAAGGGCUUCAUCUACUUUAAGCUGGAAAUGUGCCUUAGUUGUUUAUCUUAGCUUGUUGCUUUUGUUGUAACUUGUGAGUGGUUUGCUGAACCCCUUGUAUCUUUUGUUGUUUUCUUUUCUUUGUUUGUUGGUGUUUUCUUAGAGGUGUUGGUGGUUAUUGUAAUUCUAGCCGGCUGGUCGCUUUGUUAAUUCAAAGUCAGGUUAAGCUCGAGUCUUUCUUUUAAAAAAAAAGCUCAGCUCUAUGUCCUUGAUCCUCUGAUGAGGUAGAGUAUUGAGAUCAGAUUGAGUCAGCCACAAAUGACGUCGAUGAGAUGGCCUUCAGGCUUCAGUGUUGUGUGACGGAAAUAAUAUUACAAAAUAGUUUGGAAUAUGCCGCAUAAAUUAUUACAUUUGCCUAUCAUUUUACAAGUAAGUCAUACGUUGACAUGACAUUCAGUUACUGGACCAUACACGUUGAAGAUACUCUUUUUUUAUGGAACGUUGAAGAUACUCUUGUUUACGUCUACUGCCAAAUUUCUUACGUUCGGAUCUCAACUGAAUUAGUAGAACGUGUUUCUUGUGUCACAAAAUAAAAUACAAGUAGGACGUGUUUCUCAUCUGAAUUAAUAGAACUUGUUUCUUUACCGUCAAAAUAAAAUUAGAACCUCUUGUUUGCUUUUUGGAUUCCAAAUUUCUUACAGGCCUAGGAAUUGAAUAUAAAGUUUUUU